UAAAAGCGUAUGCAUGUUUAAAAAUGUUAAAUAGUUAAACAACACUUGCGGUGAAAAUAUGAAGUGUUUAUUCUGAGUUCAAAAGACCGUACUUAUAUCUAGUAUUCUUAAUGUAAUUUAAAUAAUGUAUUCCUUUACUAACUGCAUGUGACUUUGCUCUACUUAUAUUGUUUAAUACGUACUGAUGAAUUCAGCAGCGAAUUGGCUAAUGCUGCUAAUGCUUUUUACAUUUUUUUUUCACAAUGAACAGUCUUCUUUGUGUAGUUUUCAUUAUAUUGCACUCUUAUUUUUCAUUAUGUACAUGCCUGCAAUUCGCAGCUCGCUGUUUUUGUUGUUGUAUGGUGUUGUUGUUUUGCCUUCAUUUGUUUUGUCUGGUCCUUUGUCGUUUGAAUGUUGUCACAUGAUCCAAAUAGGACAAGGUUGUAAUUUUUUCUUGAUAUUGUUACUCUGCUUAGCUAUAUAUUUUUUCAUUAUUUUGUUUUUUUUUACUAGCUCCAAGAUCACCACCCCAUUGGGAAGAAACUAAAUCACGACCCCCAAAUGGUAGUCUUCCCAUGCAGAUACAGGGAUGUCACACAGAUCCAAAUGGAAACAUCGAACACAGUAAAACCCACGUGGCAGACAGGACCAAUGGUGACAAUAUAAGACCAUGCCGAGCUUCAUGGACGGUUCAAACUCAUCCUGCCCAGGAACGGCUGAAAACGUUGACAGUCAAUCAACAGGGGGACAUGGAAAAAGAGGAUUGGAAGUGAAAUAGAGGGUUUUCCAGGACAGCCAUAGGGGAAGGACUGUGGCAUCUUCAUGUUGAUGACUGAUAUGCCAACUCUGAGGAAGUGGUGGUGUAUAUUGCUAGCGGACAAUUUCAAACUUGGGUGCAUGCCACAGGAAAGAGUUUGCCCAUUGGACAGAUGAGGCAAAAGCAUUACUGCAGGGUGAAGUGCCACCAGUCUAUCAGUUACAGAAGAGAAAUUUGAAUAUAAUUGGAAGAGGUGCAACCACAGCUCCUUCAAGUUAGUGGUGGCCCACUCCAAAAAGAUAUGGCGGGAAAAAAUGUUUUGGUAAAAGGAUUGUGCAAGACAGCACAAAAGCCUCGGACAGGGCUAGGGGGAAAAAAAAAAUCAAUGCAGUAGGAGUUCCCAAGCAUCCUGCAGAUGGAAGAGGAUGAGCACGAACUACAAUGUCUUGGAGCCAUUCAAGUUCUGUUUCAACCAUCUGGAAGAUGGAUUUACCUUUUUUGAGGAGAUUGUUGACUAAAGAAAAGAUCUAUUCUCUCAAUAAUAAUAAAAAAUAAUAAAACUAAAAAAAAUAAAGUUUACCACACCAGAACUGGUUGUAUUGAGUUCAUUUUUCUACACUUAUAAAUUAGUUUUUUUUUUUUUCUUUUAUCCCAGAUGUUAGUUGUAGGUAGUUUUAAUUACCUGUGAUGAAGGCGGGAGUGCUUGCCGAAAAAUGUCAGGUAAUUAAAACAACCUACAACUAUUGUCUGGGAUAAAAGAAAAAAACAACUAACACAUGACAACUUUUGUCAUUUCUGUUUGAAAUAAAGGUGCCUUUCCUGGAGCAGAAAGUUUAAUAUAGUUUCUGAAUUAGUUAAUUAGGAUCUUCACCCACAUGAAUGAAUUUAAGUAGCAAAAUGAAAGACAAAAUUGGUUUGGUUGCAACAUUGAGAGAAUAUUACGUUUUAGAUACAUUAAAUUGUAAUGAAGCUAUAUUAAUGUCUCCGUUCAUAAAAAUGUAAGGAUGACAGCAAUUUUGUAAUGAUUCUCAAUUGGAGUAUAUUUUACAAUUGACAAACUAAAGUACACACUGUGAUAGGUCACAGGCGAUCUUUCAGUCACUAAUUAAACCUUUAUUGCAGUAGUGUGUAUUUUAAUUUUGAUGUACUGUAACCGUGUUUUUCAUUUUGGUAAAAUCAGCAGGCUUUAACAAACUGACCGCGCUUAAAGAGUUAAUCUCCCGAUUACACCAAAUCAAUUUAAGGAGCAUGUAAAUAAAUUAUUAUUUAAAUAAUAAUGAGUGAUGCUGAAACCGAAAAUAAAAGACGUGCGAAAAGAAAAGUAAACUAGUAUUUACGUUCGAAUGGACGCUAACUAUUACGAUG